GAGGGUAUAGUUCAGUGGUAGAGCGCAUACCUAGCAAGCAUGGGGUCCUGGGAUCAAUCCCCAGGACUUCCG
rnacentral:tRNA from 1 species